GCUGCAGUCGUUGGCCGCUCCUACGCUACUUGACGGCUUAAACGUGACGACUAAAUGCAGCAUGCUGAGUCCUUUGUCACCUUCUUUUUUUCUUUUCUUGCUUGUGAUUAGAAAAGCCGACAUUCGUAUAGUGGGAAGCCGGUAGCGAAGAAAGCAGACCUCACGGAAAGGGACACCAAGUCGACCAUGAAGGUUGGCGCAGGAACCACUACAGGGACCGCAGAGAGAAGCAGUAGGAAGUGGAUGGAUUCUUUCCCGGAUCCGAAAGCAAAUGCGGCUGGUCCGUCGACCGGUGGUCGACACUCAAAAGCCAAGAAGAUAGCCAUCAUUGCGGUAGCGCUGCUCU